rnacentral:rRNA from 1 species
UACGGGGGGGGCAAGCGUUGUUCGGAAUUACUGGGCGUAAAGAGCGUGUAGGCGGCCAGGUAGGUCUGCUGUGAAAACUCGAGGCUCAACCUCGAGACGUCGGCGGAAACCAUCUGGCUAGGAGUCCGGAAGAGGAGACUGGAAUUCCUGGUGUGAGCGGUGAAAUGACGCAGAUAGUCAGGAGGAACACCGGUGGCGAAGGCGGGUCUCUGGGGCGAGUGAACUGACGCUGGAGGAGCGAAAGCGUGGG